UGAGGAGGGCAAAUCAAGUCGUCUCUGAGAGCCUCGGUUUCCCUGUCCUUCCAACUGGAUGCUGCUGGCUCCGUGAUUAUUUCACCGAGCACCAGAUGUGCACAUGUGAGGACAGGCGAUGACUGCCCAGAAAGGGCAGGGGUUCCUCUGCCCCACCUGCCUCACCUGGGAAAGCUGUGACCACGCUGAGGCCAGGUUCCUGGGAUGAACAUCAGGACACCUGUGUGCCAUAGCUCAUCCCAGACUCCUCCAAUCCGGGUCUUGAUUCAGGCCAGAGGCGGUCAUCCCUCCAAAGGCACCAGGGAGCCAUGGAAGAGGAUGGACCCCUUCGAGGACACGCUGCGGCGGCUGCGUGAGGCCUUCAACUCAGGGCACACGCGGCCGGCCGAGUUCCGGGCUGCGCAGCUCCAGGGCCUGGGCCGCUUCCUUCAAGAAAACAAGCAGCUUCUGCGCGACGUGCUGGCCCAGGACCUGCAUAAGCCAGCUUUCGAGGCAGACAUAUCUGAGCUCAUCCUUUGCCAGAACGAGGUUGACUACGCUCUCAAGAACCUGCAGGCCUGGAUGAAGGAUGAACCACGGUCCACGAACCUGUUCAUGAAGCUGGACUCGGUCUUCAUCCGGAAGGAACCCUUUGGCCUGGUCUUCAUCAUCGCACCCUGGAACUACCCACUGAACCUGACCCUGGUGCCCCUGGUGGGCGCCCUCGCCGCAG
rnacentral:sRNA from 1 species